rnacentral:tRNA from 2 species
AGGCGCGUAGCUCAGCUGGUUAGAGCGCUGUCAUGACAUGGCAGAUGUCGACGGUUCGAAUCCGUCCGUGCCUACCA